rnacentral:rRNA from 1 species
GAUGAAUGCUGGCGGCGUGCCUAAUACAUGCAAGUCGAGCGAACAGAUGAGGAGCUUGCUCCUCUGACGUUAGCGGCGGACGGGUGAGUAACACGUGGAUAACCUACCUAUAAGACUGGGAUAACUUCGGGAAACCGGAGCUAAUACCGGAUAAUAUAUUGAACCGCAUGGUUCAAUAGUGAAAGACGGUUUUGCUGUCACUUAUAGAUGGAUCCGCGCCGCAUUAGCUAGUUGGUAAGGUAACGGCUUACCAAGGCAACGAUGCGUAGCCGACCUGAGAGGGUGAUCGGCCACCCUGGAACUGAGACACGGUCCAGACUCCUACGGGAGGCAGCAGUAGGGAAUCUUCCGCAAUGGGCGAAAGCCUGACGGAGCAACGCCGCGUGAGUGAUGAAGGUCUUCGGAUCGUAAUACUCUGUUAUUAGGGAAGAACAAAUGUGUAAGUAACUAUGCACGUCUUGACGGUACCUAAUCAGAAAGCCACGGCUAACUACGUG